CACCAAGCCUAUGACGGGUAGCGGGUCUGAGAGGAUGAUCCGCCACACUGGUACUGAGACACGGACCAGACUCCUACGGGAGGCAGCAGUGGGGAAUAUUGCACAAUGGACGAAAGUCUGAUGCAGCAACGCCGCGUGGAGGAUGACACAUUUCGGUGCGUAAACUCCUUUUAUAUGAGAAGAUAAUGACGGUAUCAUAUGAAUAAGCACCGGCUAACUCCGUGCCAGCAGCCGCGGUAAUACGGAGGGUGCAAGCGUUAUUCGGAAUCACUGGGCGUAAAGGGUGCGUAGGCGGUUUGGAAAGUCAGGUGUGAAAUCCUACAGCUUAACUGUAGAACUGCACUUGAAACUUCCAGACUAGAAUACUGAAGGGGCAGAUGGAAUUAGUGGUGUAGGGGUAAAAUCCGUAGAUAUCACUAGGAAUACCGAAAGCGAAAGCGAUCUGCUGGGAAGUUAUUGACGCUGAGGCACGAAAGCGUGGGGAGCAAACGGGAUUAGAUACCCCGGUAGUCCACGCCCUAAACGAUGAAUGCUAGUCGUCGGAGAGCUCGUCUUUUCGGUGAUGCAGUUAACACAUUAAGCAUUCCGCCUGGGGAGUACGGUCGCAAGAUUAAAACUCAAAGGAAUAGACGGGGACCCGCACAAGUGGUGGAGCAUGUGGUUUAAUUCGAAAAUACGCGAAGAACCUUACCUAGCCUUGACAUUGAUAGAAUCUGAUAGAGAUAUCGGAGUGCCUGCUCGCAGGAACUUGAAAACAGGUGCUGCACGGCUGUCGUCAGCUCGUGUCGUGAGAUGUUGGGUUAAGUCCCGCAACGAGCGCAACCCUCGUCGUUAGUUGCUAACAGUUCGGCUGAGCACUCUAGCGAGACUGCCUUCGCAAGGAGGAGGAAGGUGAGGACGACGUCAAGUCAUCAUGGCCCUUAUGGCUAGGGCUACACACGUGCUACAAUGGGGCGUACAGAGAGUUGCGAUACCGCGAGGUGGAGCCAAUCUCAUAAAGCGUCUCUCAGUUCGGAUUGUUCUCUGCAACUCGAGAACAUGAAGCUGGAAUCACUAGUAAUCGUAGAUCAGCAUGCUACGGUGAAUACGUUCCCGGGUCUUGUACUCACCGCCCGUCACACCAUGGGAGUUGAUUUCACCCGAAAUCGGGAAGCGAACCUUCGGGGCGCUACCGCUUACGGUGGAAUUAGCGACUGGGGUGAAGUCGUAACAAGGUAACCGUAGGAACCUGC
rnacentral:rRNA from 1 species